rnacentral:rRNA from 1 species
GACGAACGCUGGCGGCGUGCCUAAACAUGCAAGUCGAACGGGGUCUUCGGACCCAGUGGCGAACGGCGGAGUAAUACAUAAGCAACGUGCCCUGAAGACUGGGAUAUACGAUGGAAACGUCGGGCAAUACCAGAUGUGGUUGGGAGGAGUCAUCUUCAUCCAAUUAAACGGAUUUAUUCGCUUCGGGAGCGGCUUGUGGCCUAUCAGCUAGUUGGUGAGGUAAAGGCUCACCAAGGCGACGACGGGUAGGGGGUCUGAGAGGAUGAUCCCCUCGAGUGGGACUGAGACACGGCCCACACACCUACGGGUGGCAGCAGUUGGGAAUCUUGCACAAUGGGGGAAACCCUGAUGCAGCGACGCCGCGUGGAGGAUGAAGGAUUUCGGUCUGUAAACUCCUUUUACAGGGAAAGACUUAGGACGGUACCCUGUGAAUAAGCUCCGGCUAACUACGUGCCAGCAGCCGCGGUAAU